UACGAAGGUCCCAAGCGUUAUCCGGAUUUAUUGGGUUUAAAGGGUGCGUAGGCGGGCUAUUAAGUCAGUGGUGAAUCCUGUUGCCCAACAACAGAAUUGCCAUUGAUACUGAUGGUCUUGAGUACAUUUGAAGUGGGCGGAAUGGUGUCAUGUAGCGGUGAAAUGCUUAGAUAUGACACAGAACACCGAUUGCGUAGGCAGCUCACUAAACUGUAACUGACGCUGAGGCACGAAAGCGUGGGGAGCAAACAGG
rnacentral:rRNA from 1 species